rnacentral:sRNA from 1 species
GCCCCCUGGCAACCCGAGUCGCGUCAUUGCGCAAGGCUUGGGGAGCGCUGUCGGGUUCCACGUGACUCCUCCUGGGGCCUCCGUCAAAGGGAAGGCGGGGAACACCAAGUGGGUUCGUGCCUCUCGCUUUGUGACUAGACCAUGCCAGAACUGGGACUGGUGACUGGGACUGGUGACUGGGGCUGCUGACUCUGGUGGCCAGCUGUGCUGCCGCCCUCUCUAUGAUGACUUUCUAGACCUUGGAAGAAACGAGAAAGGGACUGAACCACCCGGUUUGGCUCGGUGACUCAGCCCUGUGUCUGCUACUCGUCUGGAGGUCACCUGGGAGCUGUCCUGAUUAUCAGAUCUAUUAUUGCUGUCCUUGCCUCCAGGUCCAGGAGGCCAGAGGAUGGUAUCGAAUUCCCCGGAAGUGGAGUUAUGGGAAGUUGUGAGCCAUCAUGGGGACGCUGGAAAUCGAACCCAGGUCCUCUGCAAGGGCAGCAAGGGCUCUUAACCGCCGAGCCAUCCCGCCAGUCCCUAAGAGAUUUCGUGUUGUGUGUGUGUGUGUGUUUUUUUUAACAUCCUGAACUUUGAGCUGAUGUAAACGUGUUCAGUAAAACCACAGGAGUCCAUUGCUUCACGACAAGCCCGGAAAGAUUAGACUAUAAUUGAAAGAUGGUAUGACUCACAGUAGCACAUACCUUCAAGCUCUUUAUUUCCCCUUCAGAGAAACAAACAUGAAGGAGGCUUCUUUUCAAAGAAGCAGUUUUUCAAUGCGCACACUGAUGAAGUUCCUUCGGGGCUUCAUACUUUCACAACCAACUAAGCCAGCCAACCAAUCAACAAACGAAAAAAGAUGAAACAAAACCCCCAAAUUAAACUAACCAAAUUCGUUUUUGACCCUGCCUGACAAAGAAAAGAACUGAAACAACUAAACUACUUUCCCUUUCCUUUUGAGACAGGGUCUCGGUCUGUGUCCCAGAUCGGUCUGGAGUUCUAGAAGGUCCAGGAUGCAUAGUCUGGGAUGGCCUGAGUCCCUUUGCCCCAACAGCCUGAGUCCAGGGAUCACAGGCAUGAACCCCUGUGCCACACUCACUGUUCCUUGCUCCAUUCCUGUUUUUCUGCCCCUAGAUAACUAUGUCCUUCCCCUUGGAACAUUUACUUUAUUUUGAGAAGUGUCUGACUCUAAAACAAAAAGUUUGUCCAACUGAA